CCUACGGGAGGCAGCAGUGGGGAAUAUUGCACAAUGGGCGCAAGCCUGAUGCAGCGACGCCGCGUGAGCGAAGAAGUAUUUCGGUAUGUAAAGCUCUAUCAGCAGGGAAGAAAAUGACGGUACCUGACUAAGAAGCUCCGGCUAAAUACGUGCCAGCAGCCGCGGUAAUACGUAUGGAGCAAGCGUUAUCCGGAAUUACUGGGUGUAAAGGGAGCGUAGACGGAUGUGCAAGUCUGAUGUGAAAGGCGGGGGCUCAACCCCUGGACUGCAUUGGAAACUGUAAAUCUUGAGUGCCGGAGAGGUAAGCGGAAUUCCUAGUGUAGCGGUGAAAUGCGUAGAUAUUAGGAGGAACACCAGUGGCGAAGGCGGCUUACUGGACGGUAACUGACGUUGAGGCUCGAAAGCGUGGGGAGCAAACAGGAUUAGAUACCCCUGUAG
rnacentral:rRNA from 1 species